rnacentral:rRNA from 1 species
GAUGAACGCUGGCGGCGUGCCUAAUACAUGCAAGUCGAGCGAACAGACGAGGAGCUUGCUCCUUUGACGUUAGCGGCGGACGGGUGAGUAACACGUGGAUAACCUACCUAUAAGACUGGGAUAACUUCGGGAAACCGGAGCUAAUACCGGAUAACAUGUUGAACCGCAUGGUUCAACAGUGAAAGACGGUCUUGCUGUCACUUAUAGAUGGAUCCGCGCCGCAUUAGCUAGUUGGUAAGGUAACGGCUUACCAAGGCAACGAUGCGUAGCCGACCUGAGAGGGUGAUCGGCCACACGGGAACUGAGACACGGUCCAGACUCCUACGGGAGGCAGCAGUAGGGAAUCUUCCGCAAUGGGCGAAAGCCUGACGGAGCAACGCCGCGUGAGUGAAGAAGGUCUUCGGAUCGUAAAACUCUGUUAUUAGGGAAGAACAAAUGUGUAAGUAACUAUGCACGUCUUGACGGUACCUAAUCAGAAAGCCACGGCUAACUACGU